rnacentral:lncRNA from 1 species
GGAGAGAAUCAGCAACUCACUGCACACAGUAGGGGUGCAAUAAAUGUUAGCUGAACCGAGCAUAGUGAAAUAAGCAUAGGCCCACGGGGAAGAGAGAAAAAGGUGUUCUGCACACACAUGCAUGGAAAUGUGCCUCUGUGUGCGCCUCUCUGCAGGGAGCAAGGAGCAAAGAAGGCAUUUGCCAUCUUCCAAGCUGGUUCCCGACAUCAUCGUGAGGCCUUGUGGUCUCAACAUCACCCCGCACAAAGACAGCGCGGCGGGAUGUGUGCUCCCAGGCGGUCCAGGGAAAACGUGCGACCUUCACUGGGGUCUGACAUUGUUUGCAGUGUCACUUCAGCAUCCUUUUCUGUCUUUCCUUUCUCUCUCCUUUCUUUAAGGGAGAUUCUUCAGAGUGAAGACAGAAGUAUGUAGAAAAGGGAAGGCAUCCCGGUGACAAUUACCGAGACCUGGUGGCAGGAGGCCUCCCUCACCUCAUGCUGCCUCGAAGCUGCUCUGUGCGUGAUUUCACCUGAUGGUGACUUCCGUCAAUUCCUGUCUAUUUUCACUCCUUUUCUCAGGUCACUGUGGCUUCAAGGGACUUUGGAGUAAGUCUCGAAGGAGGCAGGAAAUGCUGAUGAUCACCAGUUUACAGUGCUUUCCACAAAGGAAGAAUACGUAAAAUCUGGUCCGGAAGUUCUGUAAAACACGCCAAGGAGACAUUUUAACUGCACCACAGAGGAUGAGUAGACAUUUCCAAAGCUGAGAAGAGGUAGAGUACAUAGCUGAGGACCUGGGCCUGCAGGUGUGUGCAGGUGCAUGUGGAGGAGAGUGAUGGCAAUGGGGCUGGAGAGAGGUGAGACUCGUCUGCCCUGCUGAGGAGCCCAGACCUUCACCUGCUGGCACCUGGAGUCGUUACUCACAAGAUGGGUGGAGCCAUUAAAACUGUCC